ACACGCCAAGGCUGCCGCCGUGAAGUAUAUAUCUAUAGAGGCAACCAGCCCCUAAAACACUGCCAGGGCAACAACAACAACACACGCCAAGGCUGCCGCCGUGAAGUAUAUAUCUAUAGAGGCAACCAGCCCCUAAAACACUGCCAGGGCAACAACAACAACACGCCAAGGCUGCCGCCGUGAAGUAUAUAUCUAUAGAGGCAACCAGCCCCUAAAACACUGCCAGGGCAACAACAACAACACACGCCAAGGCUGCCGCCGUGAAGUAUAUAUCUAUAGAGGCAACCAGCCCCUAAAACACUGCCAGGGCAACAACAACAACACACGCCAAGGCUGCCGCCGUGAAGUAUAUAUCUAUAGAGGCAACCAGCCCCUAAAACACUGCCAGGAGAACAACAACUGCUGCCAUUACUGCUACUAUAACCUUCCUCAGCAAGACAGGCCGCCCACCACGCCGGUGUGUGGAGGGAAAGAGAACAAGAAAGGAACGAGGACAACAACAACACACUCCAAGGCUGCUGCCAUAAAGGUUGGGGCCGCCUCACCUGCAGGGCUGGACAGCAGCAUGAGUGGCCAGGACAAGCAGGAGCAGACUGCUGCAGAGGGGGCAGGAGGGUCAGUGGUCAGCAGAUGAAGCAACUUGCUGCUGGCAACUCCAGCAACAAAGGAGAGAGGAAGUUUGUGUGUCUGGAGUGUGGAAAAGAAUUCACUUCAAGGGGAGGCCUCAGAUAUCACACCCUUACACACACUGGUGUGAAGAACUAUGAGUGUAAGGAAUGUGGGAAAAAAUUCAUCUGUAAGAGUCACCUUGAUACACACACCCUUACACACACUGGUGUGAAGAAGUAUGAAUGUAAGGAAUGUGGGAAAAAAUUAAUCCAGAAGUGUACCCUUGAUAGACACACUAGUGUAAAGAACUAUGAAUGUAAGGAACAUGGGAAAAAAAUUCAGCGAGAAGGGUACCCUUGAUAGACACACCCUUACACACACUGGUGUAAAAAACUAUAAGUGUAAGGAAUGUGUGAAAAAAAUUCAGCGAGAGGGGUAACCUUAUUAGACACACCCUUACACACACUGGUGUGAAGAGUCAUGAGUGUGAAGAGUAAGGGAAGGGAUUCAGUGUGAAGCAGGCACUCAAUGAACACGUCUUCAGACACUAUGGCCUUAGAGAGUUUAAGUGUGAUGUUUGUGGAAAGCUCUUUAAGACAAGGGGUGACAUUGCCAGGCACAUAAAGAUCCACUUGAAGUGUGUCUGCCUACAGUAGUUAUAGUGACCAGGGUGUUAGCAGCAGCUGAGCCUGAUAGGGAAAGGGAAGUGAAGGAGAGGUAAAAGUGAUCUUGUAAGACAAGGAAGAAAGAAGGCUUGCCUGUGAAGUGAUAAAAGGAGAGGAGCCACAGCAAGAAGAGGAAGGGAAAUACUGAUGGCUGACUUUCCACAGCUGUGGCAGCUGCACCUGGGCCUGGAGCCUGGUUGAGUCUCACAGCUACAGUGAAUUACUUACUCCUCUGUGAGGUGAGGGGCAAGAGAAUGUCACCUAACACUAAAAUAGCUGGAACAUGUGUUUAUAAACCAUUGCUGCAGCAAAAGAAUCAAUGCCUUACAGAGGUGUGCUUCACCCAAGGGUACCACAGAUGCGAGGGCUUCCUGACAAUGAUGCUCCGUGCCCCUCCCUUGGGCUGUGUCGCCAACAGACAGGGAGGAAGUCAAGUGAAGGAAUAAACAGCUCUGAACACCUACAACCAUGCAAGGGCAACUGACAUUGCCUAGGAAAGUUGUUAUUUAAUGACAAUUAAAAAUAAAAGUCAUAUUGGAAAAGCUGAAUAUUAAAUGGAAUGAACAUCAACAUGUCAGAAGUGGCACUGUCGAGGCAACACUUGGAUCCAGCAGCAACAGUCUCAACUCAACUCUUCCUGGCCUUGUUGUUGGCAGGGUGUGCUGGUCUGUGCCUCCCUCCCCUGCAGCCUCCAUGCUGAGAAGGAACUGAGAGAGAGAGAGAGAGAGAGCCCGUGCAGUGACACAAGGCCACAGAGGUGACAGCAUCAGGAAGGUUGUUGCUGCUGCAUGGAGGCAGGGUGUGCUGGUCUGUGCCUCCCUCACUCUGUUCCUGCCAGGACUGCCUCUGAGUGGCCGUGGCAGUAUAGAUUCCUGACGUUCCUCACAAAGGGUUCUUCAGGCGCAAGAAGCUGGAGGAGAUGAAGGCACACCGGGCGAGGCUGCAGAGUGCCCACACCGGCGUCAGUAACCCAACAGCCACCGGAGAGUAGAGUCACAGCCGCCAGUGUACCUACGUAGUGUCUGUGUUGGGCUGGCCGGGUUAUCGUAGACACAGCGCCACGCCAAAGAUUCCCAAGUGUUGUAGUGACGUGUAAGUCUGUAUGGAGCUGGUGCAGUAUAGACACAUUUUUGCCGAUAUGUACAAAAAAGCAUUUUUCCCUUACAUUUCCUUCAAUAACUCUUAAACUACUACUUUCUAGACAAAAUACAAUAUGGAUGACAUUGUUGAGUGAAGA